UGCUGCUCCAAGUCAGGUUCUCUGAGAGAAAUUCCUAAACACCAGCACCUAACUCAAACACUUUCCUGCAGAAAGAAAGUUUCAGAACUUACUCUUUGUGAAGGUUACCAUGAAAGUCCUGAAAAAAAUUCACCAGAGACAAGUGGCUGAGAUGCUCCUUCAUGAAAUCAAGGAAAACGAAUAUAAAAAGAAUAAGAAAGAAGAGGAUGAUGAAACAGAUGAAGAG